AUGCAAGUCGAACGGUAACAGGUCUUCGGAUGCUGACGAGUGGCGAACGGGUGAGUAAUACAUCGGAACGUGCCCGAUCGUGGGGGAUAACGAGGCGAAAGCUUUGCUAAUACCGCAUACGAUCUACGGAUGAAAGCGGGGGAUCUUUGGACCUCGCGCGGACGGAGCGGCCGAUGGCAGAUUAGGUAGUUGGUGGGAUAAAAGCUUACCAAGCCGACGAUCUGUAGCUGGUCUGAGAGGAUGAUCAGCCACACUGGGACUGAGACACGGCCCAGACUCCUACGGGAGGCAGCAGUGGGGAAUUUUGGACAAUGGGCGAAAGCCUGAUCCAGCCAUGCCGCGUGCAGGAUGAAGGCCUUCGGGUUGUAAACUGCUUUUGUACGGAACGAAAAGCCUCUUUCUAAUAAAGAGGGGUCAUGACGGUACCGUAAGAAUAAGCACCGGCUAACUACGUGCCAGCAGCCGCGGUAAUACGUAGGGUGCAAGCGUUAA
rnacentral:rRNA from 1 species